AAAAUGCGAUAAGUAGCGUGAAUUGCAGACGCUUUGAACGUUAAAAUUUCGAACGCACAUUGCGCCAUAGGAGUUCUACCCUAUGGCACAUCUGGUUGAGGGUCGUGAUCAAACACAGCCAUGCCUUAGGCUGUAUAAUCCAAAAAAUAGUUGGUGAAUCAUCUGACUAGCACACUUUUGUCUUGUUGCUUGUGAUGUUUUGCCAUUAUGCUCUAGAGGGCUUCUGCACUAAUGAUGAAGCUUCCUUACCACACGGGACGGGCAGCCAAUGCAGACUGCUAGGUGAGCCGGCCGCUGGGUGUUUGAAGAUACAUUCAUCGUCGCCUUUACUCGAUAAGUAGAGGGGGCAACACUCGGUUUUGGCUGGCUUGUCGAUUGGUCUGUUACCGUACGUGCUUGG
rnacentral:misc_RNA from 1 species